rnacentral:tRNA from 1 species
GGGGUUGUGGCUCAGAGAUAGAGCACUUGCCUGUCAUGCGUGAGGCACUGGAUUCAAUCCUCAGCACCA